rnacentral:rRNA from 1 species
AGACAGGUGCUGCAUGGCUGUCGUCAGCUCGUGUCGUGAGAUGUUGGGUUAAGUCCCGCAACGAGCGCAACCCUUGAUCUUAGUUGCCAUCAUUAAGUUGGGCACUCUAAGGUGACUGCCGGUGACAAACCGGAGGAAGGUGGGGAUGACGUCAAAUCAUCAUGCCCCUUAUGACCUGGGCUACACACGUGCUACAAUGGACGGUACAACGAGAAGCGACCGCGAGGUGGAGCUAAUCUCAUAAAACCGUUCUCAGUUCGGAUUGCA